rnacentral:rRNA from 1 species
AGAGUUUGAUCAUGGCUCAGAAUGAACGUUGGCGGCGUGGAUUAGGCAUGCAAGUCGAGCGAUCAUCAGCAAUGGUGGGAGCGGCGAACGGCGUAGGAAUUCAUAGGAACGUACCCUCGGGUCGGGGAUAGCUACGGGAAACUGUAGGUAAUACCCGAUGAUCUCUGCGGAGCAAAGGUGUGAUUCCGCCCGAGGAGCGGCUUAUGCGAUAUUAGCUAGUUGGUGAGGUAAUGGCUCACCAAGGCGAAGAUGUCUAGGGGGUGUGAGAGCAUGGCCCCCACGACCGGAACUGAGACACUGUCCGGACACCUACGGGUGGCUGCAGUCGAGAAUCUUCCGCAAUGGACGAAAGUCUGACGGAGCGACGCCGCGUGCGGGAUGAAGGCCCUUGGGUUGUAAACCGCUGUCAGAGGGGAUGAAAUCUUCGGAGGUACUCCUCCGAAGUUGACAGAGCCUCAAAGGAAGCACGGGCUAAGUACGUGCCAGCAGCCGCGGUAACACGUACUGUGCGAACGUUAUUCGGAAUCACUGGGCUUAAAGGGUGCGUAGGCGGCGAUUCAAGUCAGAUGUGAAAUGCCUGAGCUCAACUGAGGCAUUGCGUUUGAAACUGAUUCGCUUGAGUAUUUCAGGGGUGUGCGGAACUGCCAGUGGAGCGGUGAAAUGUGUUGAUAUUGGCAGGAACACCGGAGGCGAAAGCGGCACACUGGGGAAUAACUGACGCUGAGGCACGAAAGCCAGGGGAGCGAACGGGAUUAGAUACCCCGGUAGUCCUGGCUGUAAACGAUGAGCACUGGGCGGGAGGGGGUUUCCCCUUUCUGCCGUAGCGAAAGCGUUAAGUGUCCCGCCUGGAGAUGAC